AGGACUGUAGCUCAGUGGUACAGCAGCUGUUUCACAUACAGAAGGCGCCAGGUUCAAUCCCCAGCUGGACCUCUA